rnacentral:tRNA from 1 species
CAAGGUCUAUUUUAAUUAAAAUCCUGACAUGUCGUGUCAGAGAUAGCUCCCGCUGACUUUGG